AUUGAACGCUGGCGGCAGGCCUAACACAUGCAAGUCGAACGAGCGGCGGACGGGUGAGUAAUGUAUGGGGAACUGCCCGAUGGAGGGGGAUAACUACUGGAAACGGUAGCUAAUACCGCAUACUAUCGGAUGUGCCCAGAUGGGAUUAGCUAGUAGGUGUGGUAACGGCUCACCUAGGCGACGAUCCCUAGCUGGUCUGAGAGGAUGACCAGCCACACUGGAACUGAGACACGGUCCAGACUCCUACGGGAGGCAGCAGUGGGGAAUAUUGCACAAUGGGCGCAAGCCUGAUGCAGCCAUGCCGCGUGUAUGAAGAAGGCCUUCGGGUUGUAAAGUACUUUCAGCGGGGAGGCGUUACCCGCAGAAGAAGCACCGGCUAACUCCGUGCCAGCAGCCGCGGUAAUUC
rnacentral:rRNA from 1 species